CCAUCCUUCUUCGAGCUUGAGCUCUAGUGUUGUAUCGAUUCAGGGUGACGAAACUGUACGCGUUAGAACCGAGUAUGAGACAACCGGGAGACACAUGAAAUGCAAAAUGUGAUGCAAAAUGCGAAUGAAAGAUUUCAUGGAAUUCAAGCCUUUACGAACAUCGCGGAAUACCACUGGGAUCUUUAUUUAUUAAUUUGAAAAUGGAUUACAAAUAAAUAUUCUUAAAAAAUCUUAACAAGGAAAAAAAAAAUAAAAAAAAUAAAUAAAAGCUACGAAAGCCCUAAGGAAGCGUAGUCCACGACUUCAACGAGUAGGCGGAGAGUCGGAGGAAAAUAAAUCCUCGUAGAUUCUUCUCUUUUUGUAGGAAAGCACUUCUUCAUUCUUCGCCUGCAGCUGC
rnacentral:lncRNA from 1 species